GUGCUCGCUUUGGCAGCAUGUAUAGUAAAAUUUUAAUAAUACAGAGAUUAGCAUGGCUCCUGAGCAAGGAUGACACACAAAUCCGUGAAAAUUUCUGUAUUUUA
ensembl:snRNA U6 U6 spliceosomal RNA